GCUGCUAGGAUUCUUUCAGAAAAGUACACUGAUGUGGUUCUCCUGGGUGAAUUUCCAGAGGAGCACUUUGACGAGCCAAUACCAAAGGAGAUCAUCAAGGUCUUGCAAGCUGACUUGUCCUACAUAAGGGAAGAAAUUGCAGCAAGAAAUUCAAAACUGGAAAUGCCCUACACAUAUCUGAACCCUGAUAUUGUAGAAAACAGUGUGACCAUUUAGGGAUUGUUUUCAUGAUUAAAAGAAAAUAAAGGAAUGUGUGAAAGGC